GGAGAGGUGCCGGAGCGGUUUAACGGGUACGCCUGGAGAGCGUAAGUCUGUCGAAAGACGGACCGAGAGUUCAAAUCUCUCCCUCUCCG
rnacentral:tRNA from 1 species